rnacentral:rRNA from 1 species
UACGUAGGCAGCAAGCGUUGUUCGGAAUUACUGGGCGUAAAGAGUGUGUAGGCGGCCAGGUAGGUCCGCUGUGAAAACCCGAGGCUCAACCUCGGGACGUCGGCGGAAACCAUCUGGCUAGAGUCCGGAAGAGGAGAGUGGAAUUCCCGGUGUAGCGGUGAAAUGCGCAGAUAUCGGGAAGAACACCCGUGGCGAAGGCGGCUCUCUGGGACGGUACUGACGCUGAGACGCGAAAGCGUGGGGAGCGAACAGG